AUUCAAGCUUAGAGAGGUAAAAGAGGGAACUCAAGGAGGCAACUCAUAGCUCUUAUCUCCUAGCUCGAUGGAAAUUCUUCUCCCCUUCCUGGACUUCUCAUGAAGCUCCCUUGAGAUAUUACUCUACUUGGCUAUGAAGGUUGAGACUUCUAUCUAGUCUCAAAGCUGCUUUUCCUGAGAGUUUCUGAUUGGCCCUCUCUCAGCACCCAGCUGGAUGCAUUGCUUAUUCUUGGUCUAGUUUCCAGUUAUAUGGUCAGUUGGGGAAUGUGGGAUGGGGAGAAUAAUACUUCCUCCCUGCUUACCGUUUGCUGACCCCUCUUCAGACUGGAGGUUGGAAUAACGAAUUCAACCUUCAUUUAAGGAGAGGAGACAGGAAAGAAAUCUCAGCCGUCUCAUUACCCACCUGGCUGUACUCACUUUGUCAUAAUCAUAGUCUGGGAAAACUUAUUAUCAUUCAAGCUCUUGAAGCUUAAUUCUCAAAGCAGCUGCUGGAAUGCUUCUGCUAUGAUAUCUUUACUUUAUUAUCUUAGUCCACAGAUUUUUCCAAUUCUUUCAACUAACCCCAAUAAUUCAUGCUUAGCUUAUACCUUUCAUUGAUUUUGAUUCAGUUAUGGUGUUCAGAAAGUGUCCAUACCUUUGGUUGAUUGGUUCAAUGUCUUUACCUAGGUAAAUACAAAACACAGACAAAAACAGAUAAAAGGUAUCCUUGGUGGGUGCUAGAGGAGAAGUAUUAGCAUCUGGGGUAGAAUUGGGGAGGGGAGAAGGCAGAAAAGACAUCACGUGGAAGAUGGCACUCGUGUUGUGUCUUGAAAGGAACCAGGAAUUCCAAGUGGCAGGGAUGAGGAAUGCUGAGAGAGGGCUCUGGCUUGUUGGAGAGGUCCAAUCAUGGAACUUUGAAAGAGUGAGAGAGUGUGGAGUGUGGGAACUGCUUGGGAAUUCUCAGUCCUGGGAAGGCACUUUCGAGUGCAAAGAAUGACUGUUGGAAGGCAAAUUCAGGGGCUUUCAUCAAGAGUGACUGAGCCCUGAAUACCAAGGUAAGAGCACAACUCUGGAGGUUGAGAGAGAUGGUGAAGUGAGGCAGUGAUCUGCAGAUUGGUGUGACUUCCCUGUGAUUCCUCUCCUAGAGCAUAAAUACCAGGACAAAGAGUUAUCAUGAAAGAGCAUGAAAAAGAUUCGGUCUAGUAUUGGAAAUCUGAAUCAUGCCUUUCUUGAACUCCUAGUUCUCAUGGGAAAGGGAUCAAUGGGGGACCCAGGGAAGGAGGUGGGGACAGGGUGACCCAGGAUGUUUGGUGUGCCUAUCAGGGAGUGACAUCGCCUAAAGAGGUCACACAAGUAAGAAAUGGAAGAUCUGGGAUUUGAACCUAGGUUCUCUGGCACCAGAUUCUCUGCUGAUGUCCCCAUACCACACUGCAAAGAGAUCUACUCUCAUAAAUGUCAAAAAUCAUUGCCUCCUUUUCUUGAAGCAUUUUAUAAUUAUAGGAGAUGCUGAUCCAAGACAAUGGAACGAACUGGAACAUUCCUCAUUCAUGUAACUGCAGACUCCCAGACCCUUGCCAGCUAUCUCCAGCCAAGUGGUUGUCACACCCUAGAAAGGAUUUUAUCCUCUUUAGGGAGCCUCCCAUGCAGCCACCGCUCUAGCUUCUGGUGAAGGAAUACCAUGGUGCUGCCUUAGAUGUGCUCUGAGAUCCUCUGUUUAAGGGCUGAACUAUCAUCGUUAUCUCCAUUUUCCAGAAGAGGAGUUGGAGGUCACAGAACAGCAGAGUGACCCAUCCAGCUUCCCACCCCAUUGAGAGAAAAUCAACAGCCUUUAAAGAACCUGCCUCCAAGGAAGGCUUAAAGAAAAGAUGAAAGACUGAUAUUUUAUCAAAUUUCCAGGAAAAAAGAUUCCUCCUUAGAAAUAUUUCACCUGGAAGAACCCUUAGAAACCUAGUUAAGCUCUUCCGUCUUACAGAGGAAGCACCCAGAAAAGGAAAGGGACUUGUCCCAAGAUACAUCAAGGAAUGGAAGAAGAGCUGGGACAAGGUGGUGAAGAAGGACAAAAUCUGAAAGGGCACCCCCAAGGCUCCUCGAGAUCUCCCUGGACGUCUUAGUUAGGUCAUGCUCUGCCAGACUACCCAGAUUACUUAUUACUAAGACUCCCCAGCCAAGUAGGAAUUGGGGGUUCUGGGAAAGAAGCCAGGGUACUUAGCCAGCCUGAUUUAGGCAAGUAGAUUGGCAUAGUCCAUUUUCCUGGAACAGAACACCUCUGGCCCCGAGGGUGCUCCUUCUUUCCCAGAGGACUCAUGAAUCCUAGCCUGCCACAGCAGGACACGAUGACCUGCCCUGUUCCACUGGGGAUCUGGAUGCAGCCUCUCCUACUGUCUGCCAGUUAAAGUGGUGACAUUGCUGGAGAGGCAAGGGAAAAUGGUCCUGAUUUCUUUUUUGGAUGGGUUGGGAGCCAUUAUAUAGAGCAGCUAGAGUUUGAACCCCAUGGGGCUUUGAAAAGAGUCUGCGGCAGCCUUCCUCUCCACCCACCAGCCUAUUUGUGAGGUUGUGUGGGAGAGAGACCCAACCCAGCCUCAUUACUUUCAGGAGCACAAAGAAAACUAAGCCUCCUUUUUAUAGUGAAAGAAAAAAAUGUCAAAGACCAAGGAAGUGGCAUGGCAAACUCUAGGCUAGGAUUAUUCAGAAGAUGAUCGUUCUCCCCCCCGGCUAUUUCCAUUGCUAGCUGGGUGAUCUUGGGCAAAUUAUUAAUGCCACUGAGGCUCAGUUUUCUCAUCUCUAAAAUGGAAAUGUACCUGUCUUGCGGACCUGAAAAGGUUGUUUGUGAGGACUGAAUUCAGUAGAUGAUACAGAUAACCAUUAGGUGGUGCUAUCUGGCAAAAUGUGAAGCCUUGGUUUGCCCAUAAAUGUGACCAGAAGAGGCACUCCAGCUUUUCUUUCCCCAUGAUCAGAAUUUCAACGACCUCACCAAGAGGGGAGUGAUGGCUCUUUGGAUGCCCCCAUCUUCCUCCUCCUGAGGGGCCCAGGAGGUCUGGCUCCAUCCAUACCUCUACUGGCCCUUUCACUGGGAAACGUGAGUUUCACCCAGUCAUCGUUGCUCCAUGCCAUCUGGAAGAAUGGCCUCAAGUCAAGUCUGUCAGUCUGUCUCUACUCUGUAGGUAUUUAUUAGAGUUAUUCAGAAAAAAAUCUAAAUGAUGCCAUUCUCUUGUCCACCAGCUCAGCUCCCUCAUAGAGAAAGCUAGCUGUAGCAUCCUAGACCGAGACUGAAGACUCUUCCUGCUUCAUCCUCAGUUUAUCAGCCUAAUCACUGGCGUCUUCCAGGAUUGUGCCUCUUGAAUGUCAUUAAUUCACAGACACGAGUCCUGGAUUGUUAACAAUGAGUCCUGGUUUAUAGGAGGCAAAUCAAGACACAGAAUCAGUUUAAAGAGAGAAAAUCUAGGAGAAAGCAACUGACUGCUGUAGGAAUUAGGUAAGGGAUAGGUACAUGUUAUGGACUAGCUUUAAGAGGAAAAGAGGAGAAUUGGGAUGCAAGCCCUGGGAGAGGAUUCUACAUUCCUACACUGAGAGUGUGUGAAGGGGGUAGGAAGGGAGUUAACCCUUCACCGACCUUUUCUGGAUCCCAGCGAGUCGUCUGUUCCCAUCACUCACCAUCAGAGCCCUUUCAUUCAGGAAUCUGACCUCUGGAGUCAAGGCCACUCCAUCAAGACUCUCCUCUCUCAACUGGCACCACAAAAUGGCAGUAGGGUCUUUUCUCUCUCUCUGUUCACCUUUGGGACAUCUUUCUCCAAACUCAUACUUGUUUUUAAAAAAUACCUUUAUCUGCCAUCUUAGAAUCACUACUUUGUAUUGGUUGUAAGGUAGAGGAAUGGUAAAGGCUAGGUUAAGUGACUUGCCCAAGGUCACACAGUCAGGAAAUGUCUGAGGACAAAUUUGAAUCUAGGACUUUCCAUUUCUUAGCCUGACUCUUUAUCUACUGAGCCACCUCGCUUCUCCCAAACCCAUACUACAAAUGAACUUAGCCUUCCUACUUUGGAUCUACUUCUUCCCAGCCCAGUGUGUGCCUAUAAAAACUCUCCCAGGGAAUUUCUUUCCCAGAAAACAAUGCUGUCAAGGGCUCUAAUUUACAGGUGUCGUACAGUUUUAAGUCUUUCUUCUUUGCCUAGAGAGUAAAGUCUGAGCACUCAGUGUACAUGCACUCAUAGAUAUAUAGGAAAACUUUUGGAAAAUUAACUUUAUAUAAACUUGAGGCAUUUUGGCAUCACUCAUUUCAGCAACCUGCAUCUAGUUGGUACUUGGUGAUUAUUUGUUUAGGGAAUGAAUGAAUGAAUGAAUUCUUUAUAGCUCUGAAAAAAAUCUUCUGUUGUAUUUUUGUUUAACCAUAUAAGAACUCAAGCCCAGUUGGGCAUCAAAGGGGUUGAUAGACAUAGAGCUCAAGGAGUCAAAUUCAAAUAGAACUGGAUCCCUGCUGCCUCAUAUGGACUUAGAAAACCACAAAUUAACAUUAUCUUUUUAUUAUAUAUAGUAUUAUAGGGAGCAGCUAGAUGGCCCAGAGUCAGGAAGAUUCAUCUUCCUGAGCUCAAAUCUGACCUGAGAUGCCUGCAGCAAUUACUUAGCAGUGUCACCAUGGUGAAUUUUUUUCUUCUUUAAAUGUACAUGAUCGUAUUUGGCCCUCAUGACCAUCCUGGGAAGGUGUGCUAGUAAAUGUUUAACAGCAAGCUCUCUGAGGGGAAAAAGUACACAAGAGUAGCUUCUAAGUUUGAUCUGCAUUUUUAACAUUUUCUCCCUCACUUUUCUUAAGCCUGGACAAUCCAGAAAGCAAUAAAUGGAGCCCUGGUUGGGUAGCAUUUGUGGAUUUCCAAGGUGCAUGCUCAGAAUGAAAGUUAAAUAAUCUGCUUUCUCAAGUUGCAGGUAGGAGCUGGCUCCAGCACACCCUUGGAGGCAGGCAUCAUUAACGUGACUUUAUUGUUGUUCAGUCCUGUCUUAACUCUCCAUGGCCUCAUUUGGGGUUUUCUUGGCAGAGAUACUGGAGUGGCUUGCUGUUACCUUCUCCGGCUCAUUUUACAGAAACAGAGGUCAACAGGGUUAAGUGACUUGCUUAGGGUCACACAGAGAGUAAGUAUCUGAAGCCAGUCUUGACCCCAGUAAGAUGAGGCCCUCCAAACAAGUGGGGCCCACCAUUCUGAAAAACAUUUUGGAAGUAUUGAGGAAAGUCAUUCAGGAGUUACUACCUUGUGAUCUAAAGUCACUACUGGAUAGACACCCCAAGAAGGUUAUGAUAAGAAAAAAAACCCCACAUAGAUGCUAAAAUAUUCUUAGCAAACUUUCUGAAGUAGUAAAAAACGGAGGUGGGGGAAGGAGUACAUCAAUGGGAUGAGUGGCUAAAAAAUGGUACUAAACAGCUGUGUGACCCUGGGCAAGUCACUUCACCCUGCUGGCUUCAGUUUCCUCAUCUAUAAAAUGAGGUUGGAGAAAGAAAUAGCAAACCAUUUUUUUUGUCUUUGCCAAGAAAAUCCCAAAUGGGUCAUGAAGCAUUGGACAUGACUGAAAACCACUGAACCACAAAUGUGAAUAUAAUGGUCUAUUAUUGAUGUGUAGUAAGAGAUGAGAAUUAUGGAGAAUUCAGAGAAGCUUGAAAAGAUUUACAAAAAAGAACCAGCAUAGGGACAAAUGCAACAACCAAGGAAUGA